GGUCUGAUAGUACAAUUGGAUAGUGCAUCUGCGGUACAUAUUUAAGUCCGUAAAAAUUCAGCAGAAAAUCCCUGUUCGAUUCGGGGUCAAGUCA